rnacentral:rRNA from 1 species
UGGGGAAUUUUGGACAAUGGGGGAAACCCUGAUCCAGCCAUCCCGCGUGUGCGAUGAAGGCCUUCGGGUUGUAAAGCACUUUUGGCAGGAAAGAAACGUCAUGGGUUAAUACCCCGUGAAACUGACGGUACCUGCAGAAUAAGCACCGGCUAACUACGUGCCAGCAGCCGCGGUAAUACGUAGGGUGCAAGCGUUAAUCGGAAUUACUGGGCGUAAAGCGUGCGCAGGCGGUUCGGAAAGAAAGAUGUGAAAUCCCAGGGCUCAACUUUGGAACUGCAUUUUUAACUACCGGGCUAGAGUGUGUCAGAGGGAGGUGGAAUUCCGCGUGUAGCAGUGAAAUGCGUAGAUAUGCGGAGGAACGCCGGUGGCGGAGGCAGCCUCCUGGGAUAACACUGACGCUCAUGCACGAAAGCGUGGGGAGCAAACAGG